CCUUCUAUCAGCUGAUUUUUCCUUCCUAAUCUCUGCUGCACGUGUCUUCUUUCAUAAUGUAGUGUAUCGCGCGAAUCUCUCAAUGAUCAUGGACAUUACGCUACUUUGUAGCAUACAAUUUUUGUUCUAAUAUUUUUCUUAUUAUAUUUUUUAAAGAAGUAUUCGUGGUAUGUAAAUAAAUACUGUCUCAAUCCUUUAAAAAGUUACAAUUAAUACAUACAGUAUUCAGUAUGUCAACGUCAGUCUCGUUACCACAAAAGAAAUAUUAUAGACAACGUGCUCAUUCCAAUCCUAUCGCGGAUCAUUGCAUAGAAUAUCCUAUAAAACCAGAUUUAAUGGAUUGGAGCACAUUUUUUCCUCGAUAUUUCUCUAACGAAGAAGAUGAUGAUGAAAGAAACAAGGAUACUGUUCAAAAGUGUGUAGAAUUUGCUGAUAUUGGUUGUGGUUAUGGAGGUCUUCUUGUUACUUUAUCACCAAUGUUCCCAAAUAAUUUAAUACUUGGUAUGGAAAUCAGAGUAAAAGUAUCGGAUUAUGUAACGGAUCGCAUAACUGCAUUACGAUCUCAAAAUCCAGGGCAAUAUGAAAAUAUAGCUUGUUUAAGGACUAAUGCUAUGAAAUACUUACCUAACUACUUUUACAAAGGACAGCUAAAGAAGAUGUUUUUUCUAUAUCCAGACCCACACUUUAAAAGAUCAAAACAUAAAUGGAGAAUAAUAAACAAAACUCUUCUAGCUGAAUAUGCAUAUGUGCUUGCUGAAGAUGCUAUCAUAUAUACAGUAACUGAUGUAAAAGAUUUACACGAAUGGAUGGUACAUCAUUUCGAAGAACAUCCAUUAUUUGAAAAUAUACCUGAAGAAGAAUGGGUCGUAUAACACCUUCUUUGGGAUAAAUUUCUAUAUUCCAUAAUCCUGGUACACUGUUACUGUAAUGAAAAAGAUGACUUAUUUAACGAAUAUUUACUAUAAAAUGAAUUUAAAGAUUAAACGUAAUUACAAACCUUUUCCAUGUAUAGGCAAAUCUAUCAUGGUUUGAAGUAUUAUACAUCAUAAACAUCUUAACAGAACAAUUGUGUAUACUUGUGUAGAAGUGUAUAUAGUGGAUAUACAAUAGAAGGUUGGCUACUUAUAAAUAAUUCUGUUUUUUUAUCGCCAAAAGUGAUAGAAAGAUAUGCCUGAGUAAAUUUUAUAUUUAUUUAAAAAUAACACAACCCUUUUAAACAACAAUAUUGAAAAAGUCAUAUCUUGAUACCUGAAUUGCUCUAAAUUGUUUAAGAUGAUAUUUCAAAAUAAGAGGUGUAAGAGAUUGUGGUUCUACAAUACCAUUUGGAUUCAAACAUGCAAGUAUUUCUGAAUGAUAGAUUUGAUUUAUUUUAUGUAGAUUAGUAAUAUCCACAGUAUAUGGUAAAUAGUUAUUUGUAUAAUUAUAAAUCCAACAUAUCUAAAAGUCAAUAUUAAUUUAAAAUAUAUAUAAGAAAGUAACGUAAUAUUAGAAAAUCUCUUAAUAAUUAACCUGAUGUUGAGCUUUCUUAUUGCCAAAAUAAGAGUCCAAUUUUACAGUUUGUGGAUAAAGUAAAAGUUCUUUUUCAGAUCCAGAUAAAGCUUCAACUUGCAUAUACAAAAAAAUAUGGCGUUCAUGGCCAAUAUUUAAAUCCCAUUUUACUCUAGUUUUUCCCAAUAGUAAAUAACGUAAUUCUAUAUUAAUGACAAUUUUUUCUUUUGGCUUUGGGAGAGAAAAAAAAAUUUAAUUAUAUUAGUUUAUAUGGAAGAAGUAUAAUUGAUCAUUUUGUUUACCUUUAUAAAUCCUGAUUGUGGAUAAAUAGAACAUACUUUCUUGUGAACACAAUCUAAUUCCAUAUAUCGAAAUGAAAGACCUCGCGAUUUACUUAUUGUUUUGCAAAAGCAUAAUUGCAUUCUUUUAAUAUUCCAUGUAGUAUUCACUGAUGUUGGAUUAGAUAUACAUAAUUUUAUACAUAUAGGAUUUUCAUGUAGUAUCAUUGGUGGGAAAAAUAUGUAUUGUGAUUCCUUCUCAUAUGGCAAUAUAUUUUUCAAAGUAAUAUUCAAUCUAUAUAAAGAAACGUAAGGUAACAUAAAAUCUCUUCUUUUAUAUAAUGUCUAAAUAUAAAUAUAUAAAUUUAAUGCAAUA